rnacentral:rRNA from 1 species
GGGUGACGGCGUACCUUUUGUAUAAUGGGUCAGCGACUUAUAUUCUGUAGCAAGGUUAACCGAAUAGGGGAGCCGUAGGGAAACCGAGUCUUAAUAGGGCGUCUAGUUGCAGGGUAUAGACCCGAAACCGAGUGAUCUAUCCAUGAGCAGGUUGAAAGUGACGUAACAGUUACCGGAGGACCGAACCCACUGUCGUUGAAAAGCCAGGGGAUGACUUGUGGAUAGGGGUGAAAGGCUAAUCAAACUCGGUGAUAGCUGGUUCUCCCCGAAAGCUAUUUAGGUAGCGCCUCGGACGAACACCAUUGGGGGUAGAGCACUGUUUCGGCUAGGGGGUCAUCCCGACUUACCAAACCGAUGCAAACUCCGAAUACCGAUGAGUGAUAUCCGGGAGACAGACUGCGGGUGCUAACGUCCGUAGUCAAGAGGGAAACAACCCAGACCGCCAGCUAAGGCCCCAAAUUCCUAGUUAAGUGGGAAACGAUGUGGGAAGGCACAGACAGCUAGGAGGUUGGCUUAGAAGCAGCCACCCUUUAAAGAAAGCGUAAUAGCUCACUAGUCGAGUCGGCCUGCGCGGAAGAUGUAACGGGGCUCAAACUAGGAGCCGAAGCUGCGGAUUUAAUUGUUUCAAUUAAGUGGUAGGGGAGCAUUGUGUAAGCCUGUGAAGGUGUGUUGUAAAGCAUGCUGGAGGUAUCACAAGAGCGAAUGCUGACGUGAGUAACGACAAUGCGAGUGAAAAGCUCGCACGCCGGAAGACCAAGGGUUCCAGUCCAACGUUAAUCGGGGCUGGGUGAGUCGACCCCUAAGGCGAGGCCGAAAGGCGUAGUCGAUGGGAAAUCGGUUAAUAUUCCGAUACUUGUUUAUGAUGCGAUGGAGGGACGGAGAAGGUUAUGCCAGCUUGGCGAUGGUUGUCCAAGUGGAAGGAUGUAGUUAGGUUUAGUAGGCAAAUCCGCUAGACUAUUAAUGAGAUCUGAUAGCAAGCUGUACUUGUACAGCGAAGUGGCAAAUACCCUGCUUCCAGGAAAAGCUUCUAAGCGAUAGUCAUAAACAAAUCGUACCCUAAACCGACACAGGUGGUCAGGUAGAGAAUACCAAGGCGCUUGAGAGAACUCUGCUGAAGGAACUAGGCAAAAUGGUACCGUAACUUCGGGAGAAGGUACGCUGCCGAUGGUGAGUAGUCACGCACUACAAAGCUAUUGGCAGUCGCAGAUACCAGGCCGCUGCAACUGUUUAUUAAAAACACAGCACUCUGCAAACACGAAAGUGGACGUAUAGGGUGUGAUGCCUGCCCGGUGCUGGAAGGUUAAUUGAUGGGGUUAGCGUAAGCGAAGCUCUUGAUCGAAGCCCCAGUAAACGGCGGCCGUAACUAUAACGGUCCUAAGGUAGCGAAAUUCCUUGUCGGGUAAGUUCCGACCUGCACGAAUGGCAUAAUGAUGGCGGCGCUGUCUCCAGCAGAGACUCAGUGAAAUCGAAAUCGCAGUGAAGAUGCUGUGUACCCGCGGCUAGACGGAAAGACCCCGUGAACCUUUACUACAGCUUUACAUUGAACUUUGACCUUACCUGUGUAGGAUAGGUGGGAGGCUUUGAAGCAGGCACGCCAGUGUCUGUGGAGCCAUCCUUGAAAUACCACCCUGGUAAUGUUGGGGUUCUAACUCAAGCUUAACAGAGCUGAGGACAAUGUAUGGUGGGUAGUUUGACUGGGGCGGUCUCCUCCUAAAGAGUAACGGAGGAGUACGAAGGUGCGCUCAGAACGGUCGGAAAUCGUUCGAAGAGUAUAAAGGCAAAAGCGCGCUUAACUGCGAGACCCACAAGUCGAGCAGAUACGAAAGUAGGUCUUAGUGAUCCGGUGGUUCUGUAUGGAAGGGCCAUCGCUCAACGGAUAAAAGGUACUCUGGGGAUAACAGGCUGAUACCGCCCAAGAGUUCAUAUCGACGGCGGUGUUUGGCACCUCGAUGUCGGCUCAUCUCAUCCUGGGGCUGAAGCAGGUCCCAAGGGUAUGGCUGUUCGCCAUUUAAAGAGGUACGCGAGCUGGGUUUAGAACGUCGUGAGACAGUUCGGUCCCUAUCUACCGUGGGCGUUGGAAAUUUGAGAGGAUCUGCUCCUAGUACGAGAGGACCAGAGUGGACGAACCUCUGGUGUUUCGGUUGUCACGCCAGUGGCAUUGCCGAGUAGCUAUGUUCGGAUGGGAUAACCGCUGAAAGCAUCUAAGCGGGA